ensembl:lncRNA
UCAGACAAGGAGACUGCAGCCCUGAGAGGUCACGUGACCCAUUGGAAGUGGCACUGCCCAGGGUAUAUUCUUUACAGGUGAGCCACCCGGGAAGCCCUGUGGUGAGGAUUAAAAGAGAGAACCAGCUGUGGCACUCAGCACUGGGCUUAGUGUGUCUCCACGAAGACUGCAAUAACAGCAGCUAGUUCAUAAUUCAUAUUCACCCGACACUUUGCGAGUUGAGGAAGCUGAAGCCUGGAGAGGUGCUUCAAGAGACAAGUUGCUUUGCUGGUCACCACAGAGCACAGAAUAAAGCUCCUGGUGCUUUACAGUCGGUUCAGUCCUGGUUCUUAUCGAAUCUUCCCUGGUUGCCAGUCACCUGCUGCGGGGGCUCUUUCAUUUACUCGAGGGACCAUCCCGGGAACAACACCUGGACCCUGCUCUCCGAAGGAGGAAAGGUCAUGCAGUGAUGUCAUAACCUCAGCAGGAAACUUCCGCCACAGGACCUAAAGGGUUCAGAGAAGCCUCGCGCUGUUUUUUCCAGCCUCACCAUCAAAGGGGGAGAGGUGAGCGCAGGGUGACAGAGACUUUAGCCCUGUGCACACGCCGUGCUCCCACAGCGCUGAUGCUCGGAGCAGUAACAUCAGGAUCUCCGUGAUUCCUGGGCCAGUUGGGGGAUCAGAAGGAAAUCAGGCUUUUGGCCUUUCCACCCCUGGAGAAAAACCACAGUUUUGCUACUGCUCACCUUCUCUAGAUUGGACCUGGAGGUGGGGAGGGGAGAGAGGAGAGCGAUGUUGCCCUGCCCUCUGCUGGGGGAAGCACAGCAAAACCGCACUAAAUUCAGGGGCCGACGAGCUUGGGUUUCAGGUUAUCUGAGCGGAAACCCUCCUUCGUCCACUUUCUGAGACUGCAUCCUGGAUGGCAGAGCAGAGGCCACCGUGGACUCUUAGC